rnacentral:tRNA from 1 species
GCCGGGAUGGCGGAACUGGUAGACGCUGGGGACUUAAAAUCCCCCGAAGCAUAGCUUUGUGCGGGUUCGAUUCCCGCUCCCGGCACCA